rfam:Myotis davidii contig182770, whole genome shotgun sequence.
GGCUGUUCUUGGGCAACGCACCCUAGAAUCGGGCUCCCUCCUCUCUGGUUUAGGCUGCAUCACCCAAGAACCACA